AUCUGAGGGAUCCGAUGGAUCUGAGGGAUCCGAUGGAUCUGAUCCAUCAGAUCCCUCUGAUCCAUCAGAUCCCUCGGAUCCAUCAGAUCCCUCGGAUCCAUCAGAUCCCUCGGAUCCAUCAGA
rnacentral:miRNA from 1 species